rnacentral:rRNA from 1 species
AGCAGUAGCCGCGUAACACGGAGGGGGCUAGCGUUGUUCGGAAUUACUGGGCGUAAAGCGCACGUAGGCGGCUUGGUAAGUUAGAGGUGAAAGCCCGGAGCUCAACUCCGGAAUUGCCUUUAAGACUGCCGAGCUAGCAGGUGAGAGAGGUAAGUGGAAUUCCGAGUGUAGAGGUGAAAUUCGUAGAUAUUCGGAAGAACACCAGUGGCGAAGGCGGCUUACUGGCUCAUACUGGACGCUGAGGUGCGAAAGCGUGGGGAGCAAACAGGAUUAGAUACCCCAGUAGUCCCUGUCUCUUAUACA